CCUACGGGAGGCAGCAGUAGGGAAUCUUCCACAAUGGACGAAAGUCUGAUGGAGCAACGCCGCGUGAACGAUGAAGGCCUUUGGGUCGUAAAGUUCUGUUGUAAGGGAAGAACAAGUGCCGCAGGCAAUGGCGGCACCUUGACGGUACCUUGCGAGAAAGCCACGGCUAACUACGUGCCAGCAGCCGCGGUAAUA
rnacentral:rRNA from 1 species